AUUGAACGCUGGCGGCAGGCUUAACACAUGCAAGUCGAGCGGAGCGAGGGUGCUUGCACCUUAGCUUAGCGGCGGACGGGUGAGUAAUGCUUAGGAAUCUGCCUAUUAGUGGGGGACCACAUUCCGAAAGGGAUGCUAAUACCGCAUACGCCCUACGGGGGAAAGCAGGGGAUCUUCGGACCUUGCGCUAAUAGAUGAGCCUAAGCCGGAUUAGCUAGUUGGUGGGGUAAAGGCCUACCAAGGCGACGAUCUGCAGCGGGUCUGAGAGGAUGAUCCGCCACACUGGGACUGAGACACGGCCCAGACUCCUACGGGAGGCAGCAGUGGGGAAUAUUGGACAAUGGGCGGAAGCCUGAUCCAGCCAUGCCGCGUGUGUGAAGAAGGCCUUUUGGUUGUAAAGCACUUUAAGCGAGGAGGAGGCUACUAGUAUUAAUACUACUGGAUAGUGGACGUUACUCGCAGAAUAAGCACCGGCUAACUCUGUGCCAGCCGCCGCCGUAA
rnacentral:rRNA from 1 species